CGGGGCGUGGCGCAGUCUGGUAGCGCACCUGCUUUGGGAGCAGGGGGUCCCCAGUUCGAAUCUGGGCGCCCCGACCA
rnacentral:tRNA from 2 species